AUGUCGUGGUUGCCGAAUCCCCUGUGGCUCCUCUGCCACCCCUCCGGCUUCACCUUCGGCGACUACACCAUGUACUGGGUGCGCCAGAGCCCCAGGAAGGGGCUGGAAUAUGUUGCUGGGAUCAGCUAUAGUGGUCGUUACACCACCUACGGGCCGUCGGUGAAGGGUCGGUUCAGCAUGGCCAGGGACAACGGGCAGAGCUCGGUGACGCUGCAGAUGAACAACCUCAGGGACGAGGAUUCCGCCACCUAUUUCUGCACCAGGGGUGAUGAUAAUGCUGCUUAUUAUGCUGGAGGUUUUCCUGACCACCUUU